CAGGGGCUUCCUAUGAAGUCUCCACACAUUUAAAGACAGUCCUCGGGUUUGAAGAGAAGAGCUUAUUUAUCCAUGGCUGUUUGGUAUUAGAUGGCAAGUCUCCAAAUAUUCCUUUUUCAGGAAAAGUCUUUUAGCCUUUUAAUAACAUCUCAUAGCUGAUGAAAGCCCACGAUUUUCACCAUGGGAUAGUACGCAGAUGUUACACUACAGGAUAUAUUUAUCAGAAAACACCAAAACACAUGAACCUGAGUAAUAAUUUGUCUUCCGUACCUUUAAUUCUGAUGUACAUGCUUCUCUUUCUUUUUGCAAGUUUUCAUAGAUUUUUCAAGCCAAAGAACUGAGUUACAAAUAUGAAUGGACUCUGGAAGUGAACAUGGUCUGCUGCAUGCUGAUACCCAAAUUUUCAGAAAUGGCCUGGGAUUCAAAGUACCUCAGUACUGAGCAACACAAUUUUAGGGUGCACACAUUUGAAGAAAUGAAGAAGCCAUUGUUUCAUUUGCAUUAAUGUUGAAGAGCAGUAAUUUUUUAAAAGAACUGUUUUUAACACUGUUAUCUUUUAGUAAUAAAUAGUUCUUAACCAUAAAAUUAACAAGAGAACAGCUACAAAUAUGAACAGGCAGUGAUACUGGCUAUAAUUUAAAGACCAUCUAAAAUUACCGAUGUUAUCUUGAAAGUAGUUUCAAAGUCAGCUUGCCCUGUUCUCCUCCCCUCUCUCCUCUUGAGAUUUUUGUUUAUUGGGUUGUUUUUAAGUGAAGGUCCCAGUUUCUCAGCAAAACCUUGGAAUGUGUAUAUAUAACAUAAUUAGUAAAUACAGUGUGAGGUGUUCAAAUUGGAAUGAAAAAUUCCCCACCAGAUUUUAUAACAGCUGCUGUAAGUCAUGUGGAUAAGCCUGCUCUGAGUCUGAACAUCAUGGGAGAGGAAGUUCAAAGGAUUGUUCAGAGCUAACCAUGCCUACAGUAGGGUAAAAGAAACAAGGGCAAAUUUAUGCGGGUUAUUUUUUAGGCUUUUAAAAAUUAGUUUUGUCCUUAAUUAUUUUAUAGACAACAGAAACAUUGUUUUAAAAAUUUCAGGCUCAGUUUGAAAUUAUUCAUCCAGAUUCUCCGUAGGAACAAACGUGUUGCUAUGGAGAUGGACCAGAGCAAAGGCAAAAUAUAGAUGCAGAUAGAUUCCCCAGAGGAAUGUAAUUUGAGGCCUAAGUACCCUGCUUAAACAGUAUAAACACUGUCCUGGUAUGCCUUGUUUUCUCCAUCAACAGUACAAUAAAAUAUCCCUAAUCCUAAAUGAUUUGUUGUUGUUUUAGGAAUAGCUUUUAAAAGAUUAGCCAUUCUACUGAGAGUUCUUUUUUUUGAGAAACUUUUUUGUUCUUGCUUAAGGGCUAUUAAAAGGGGAAAUCAGCAAAAAAAUGGAUAAAACUUUGCAGAAAAAGCAGUGGUGAGAACUUUGCUGAUGUAGAGAUCUUGCUUGCUGUGAGUUCAAUAUUCAUAGCAAACAUGUAAAAAUAUAUUCCUUUUUCUUUGUUGCUGUAAAAUAUGCUGAGCCCAUGUGGAGCUUCUGAGAGAGAAAAGACAAGUACUUCUGCUCUGAAACUCAACCAUCUGCCACUUGGAAUACACAAAACAUCUUCAUUAAGCUUUUGGAUAAGAGUUGUGGAGUUGCAAUUCUGUCCCUGAGAAGCCAGCACAGUACUCCUGAGCUACCUACCUGGACCAUUGCACUCAAAAGUAACGUUCAUGAAAGAGACACGGCCUCAAAUAAUCAGGGAGAAAAUAUUAUAAUGAUGUUUCUCUCUUGUAACCAGUAAUUCAGCAAAGGGAAAACUCCUGCAAAGGUCAGGGCUACAUUUAGUGAAGUACCCUGGUUUACCUGCAUAUGCUGUCUAAAAUAAAAGGUUCAUUUCAGAUUAAA